CCCAGGAGCGUGGGCAGAGGCCUUGCAGCAAGCAGAGCGCUGAGCUCCACUGGGUCAGGUGCACCGCGAGGGCCCGGGUCAGGUGCACUGCAAGAGGCUAGACGGGCGCCUCCAGGCUGGUGCUUGGGGCAGCUGAUUUGGCUGUUUGACAAGCUGAUGCCUUGAUUUGGUCUGACAAGUGGAGGCUGCUGUGAGAAGCAGCCUGAAUUUUUGACAUUCAGCAAGCUAGAAAUAACCAGCUGAGCUCCUGGCGCUGUAGCUACAAAUGGCUUACUUUUCCCAGGCAAUUGCUGGGUGGAAGUGGCUUCUCCCCGUGCAGACCUGCCCUCCCUUCGAGUAUCAGGAGGCCUGGAGUCUCAGAUGGACCCAGCUUUCUAACUGCUGGGCUUUAAGGCCAGGAUGGACUAACGUAGGAAGCAAAGCUGCUGCUGCUGCUGCUGCUGCUGCUGCUGCUGCUGCUGCUGCUGCUGCUGCUGCAAUACUUCCCACCCUCUUCAGACACCCCUCCACCAGAGGGAAUUCUUCACUCCAGUCCGCUCAUAGCUACCUGGCUUACACAGGAGCUGUAGAGGCUCACUAGUGCAGUCUUGAUGAAAUGAACUUCUUGGACAAUGGGCAAUGGACAACUACAGAGAGGCCCUGGUCCUGAAGACCACAGCCUCUUAAAGAGCCAAGUCUAUUCGAGCCACUUCUCCAGAAUGAGACUGCUCACAAACCUUUGUUCUUGAAAACUACCAGAUCUCUGCCCUCUGGAACCAGCGUGGAGAUGGCACAGACAAGCCCUUUAUUCCCAUAAGACCCAGUAUCUCCCUCCAAAUAUGAAGACCAGUGAAACAAACACAGCCAGUCAUCCCAAUACAUAACCCAACAGACAAUCUGCUAAUGAAAUGGGAAAUAUGUAAUAACUGUGCUGUUUGUGCUUCUAUCUCUGAAGUGAGUUUAAUUCAACUCUACAUUGUGAAUAGGUAUUUAUGCUAUAGGAAGGACUCAGAGAUGGGAACAGAGAUAUUAGCGAGUCACUCUAUGCUCAGAACCCAUUUUUUCCUUUCUUUAUUGGCCAUGCCUAGUACAGUUCCCUGUCCUUCCAGUUCUGGCUCUUUAGUGAUCUAGGAUUUCCCCUUCCCCGGUUUCUUUGUCAAUGCCCUUACUCGCAGGCGCAGCAUCUUUUGGAAUUGUAACAGCUUCUAUCACAGGGUGCUUCUUUCUGGUGUUCGUGUGUGGACACCUAUACCUCCCAUGCCUACUGAGGUGGCAUGGAAUUUGGCGAUGGGGUCUUGAGGGAAGUAAUGAAGGUAAAAUGGGGCCACAUAGAUGGUCCCCAGGUUACUGUCCUUAUAGGAAGAUGCAGUUGGGACCUAGAUACCUACAAAACAAAAACUGUGAGGCAGGGGGAGAGGUGGAUGAGAGAGGCUGCUGUCUGCAGACCUAGAAGAGAGGUCUGUCCUACCUCACUCCCACUGGCAUCCAGCUUUCAGAAUUGUGAGGAAAUAGUUUUGAGAGGCUGGGUACAUAGGUCAGUGGUAAAGCUCUCAUCUGGCUUGUGCAGGUCCCUAAGGUCUAUCCCUAGCACCAAAAUAAUAAACAACCCAAUGUUGUCUAAGCUACUUAGCCUAUGAUUCUUGGCUAUAACAGCCCUAGUGAAAUAAUACAGCCUCCAGUCUGGGCUUCAUGCUUUUCUUUCCUUUCUCUCUCUCUCUCUCUCUGUGUGUGUGUGUGUGUGUGUGUGUGUGUGUGUGUGUGUGUGUGUGUGUCUGUGUGUCUGUCUGUCUGUCUGUCUGUGUGUGUAUAUAUGUGUGACUAGGUGUGUGUAUGUGGUGUGUGUGUGUGUCUGUAUGUCUGUGUGUAUGUGCUAUAUGUGUCUGUGUAUAUAUAUGUGUAUCUAUGUGUGUCUGUGUGUAUGUAGUAUAUGUGUGUCUGUGUGUAUAUAUCUCUGUGUUCAAGUCUGUGCAUGUGUGUGCAUUGGCAGAAGUGUGGAAGUCAGCCUUCUGUCUUGUUUGAGACAGAGUCUCUAAUUAUUUCACCCCUAUAUAUGCCAGGUUAAAUCCAGAUAGGUCUAAAAGUUAUGGUCCCUUUCCUGAAAUUCAUAUUUGGCUGGUUCUUCUAUAGUUCACCAGGCAACUGUAACUCCACAGGACCAUCUAUAACUUAUAGUGAGUGGCCUGAACCACAGUGAACUGGAGAAGGCAUCCUCCCACCCCCACCCCAGGUAACAUACUAGCAAAAGAUAGUGACGUUUGAUCGCCAGCAUUUGGUGUCCUUCCUAAAUGCAACCAAUCUUUAUCCACAGUUUAAAAUCACAUAAGGAGCUUUGAAAAAUGCUCAUAAUAUAUUCCCAGCUAACAGACAUAGGAUAGAGAUAACUGAACAGGGAAUUGGGAAGGUAGGAUGGGAAGGAAGGCGAGACCAGUAUAUGGCUACACACAGAUGCCAGCCCUGCACUUGACCCACUCUGAGACUUGGGGUCUUGUCUUCUAUCUCUACCACUGGCACACUGCUGUCGUAGCUCAGUCCUGUUGAAAGAUAAAGGGGAAGAAGGACUCUACAGAAGAGCUCAGACAGGAUCUCUGGGCAGUCCUGAAUCCGGUCUCUACAUUCUAUUCCUUUAAAAGGAAAUGUCAACGUUUCCAAGCAGUGACCGUGAACUCCAGCCCCGUGAGGGUGAGUCAGGACAGGCCUCACCAGGCCGGGCUCCUGCAAUGUAAACUUCCAGCAGGCUCCAGUAUCCUCUCAAAAACCACUCCCAACCUUGUUGAAAUGCUUGGAUUCCCCACUCUGCUUCAGUCCAGCAUGCUGGUCUCUGUGUAUAUUUGGUCCCUAGCAUCCUUAGAUGUUCCGUUGCAUAUCCACACAUGGUUUUAAGUUUCCGCAAAGUGGCUCAGACAUAUACAUUUCACUUUCUUCUCUCCAGGGUUUUCUGGGACUCUCAGCCCCCCCCCCCCCCCCACUGCUGUCUUCUCCCUCCCUGAUUUCUGCCCAGUUUUUUGCCAGCGAUUUUAUGUGCUGUCACUGGCAGACUGGUCAGAAGCACAUCAUUAAUCAUAGCCACUGGGAUAACUUGUCCAGGAACCGCCAAGGCCAGCCUUGAAUGGCUGCCGCCCAGCGCUGCCUCUUCCUUCAGCUCUAAGUUCCAUGAUAUCAUUAGCAUUCGGCCCUGGCAGGUGGCCAAUGCCUUAACUGGGGAUUCUCAGCUCUCUGUAAGUUUUUAAAAAUGCUUUGGUGAUGGGGGGAGGGAGACUUGUACUUUUCCAGCACAGAAAAAGGGAUGCUAGUUAGUUCAUGGAAGCUUCCAGUAACGUUAAAGUUCACUUGUUUUUAUUGUGAUAAUUGAAUGGUGUUCAGUAAUGUUCUUCCUAUAAUAAGAUUCAAAAAAUUUCCUCCUUAGGGAGGAAAAUUUGGAAGAAGGAAAUACAAAGGAGAGGGUCAGCUCAGCAAUACUUUCCUUGCAACACGAGGAUCCCAGAAUUGCAUAGGAGUAUCUGCACUUCGUUUAAUAAAUGGAUCCCUAUAAAUUUCAUGUAAAUGGAAUGUGUAAGAAUUUAAAUCAUUCUAAGUGCAGCUGUAUUAAGGCAGCCUGGCAUGACUCGCUUUAUCAAGGGAAUUAUCUUGAUGCAAUAGACAGCAUCCUGUGGAGCACACUGAUCAUUGUUAUAAGUCUGAAUUUUGCAUAGGGCUGAUUCUCAUAAGAUCGGGGAGAGGGGGGUCUCUCUUAUAAUGACAACUAUUCUAAGAUCACAGAUGUUCUCAGGCUCCGAAGAGGAACUUUUCCAAAGCUUUCUAUGGAGUAUGACUAGCUACUAGGAUGCCAUGGGAGGUUAAACGCAGACAACUGUCACCCAGAAUCCUCCUGUUCUAUUUCCAGAGAGAUGCAAGAAGUUACCAGUGAGUGAAGGAAGGGAGAGAUGAUGGCAGACACUCUGAGGCUAGAAGCAUGAGCUGGGGUCAUAGUAACACAGCUCUGCCUUUGUCCUCUAACCAGGGAUUGCCGAAGAAUCGGUAUCUCACAUCUCACACACGCACACACACACACACACACACACACACACACACACACACACACACACUUAGACACACAUUCCUGCCCGUUGUUAGAAUUUAGGUGUGAAGUGUAUAUUAUGUGAUUCCUACAUUAAAAAAAAAGGGGAGGGGGCUAACUUCCAACUUUACCUCAGGAAGCCUUUCAAAGAAAAGAUGUAUUUGAGGGUUAUAAAUACUAUGUUAUUUAAUUCCUAAGUACUGGUGAGAUGUGCAGGAUUGGGAGCCCCCGGCAGGUUGCCCACCUGUUCUCUGCUAUCUUCCUAAGGUAACCCUGAGUCAAUGUGGUGAAGGGAGAUGAAUAACUACAACAUUCUCUUUUCCUUGUGUUCUCUCAGGCAACUGUGGCUCAGAAGGUAGAGGCACAAGGCACAAGAUUAAACUUGAGAGAUGCUUAAGAGGGGUUUAGACUGCGUGUGUGGGGUUUUUCCUCCAUCUUUCCCCCCUUGUUCUUGCUUCCUGCUUCCUGCUUGGAGUGCUGUCAGAAUGGCUAGGUUUCUGGCACCAACUUGCAACCACCACCACCCUCACCCCCAAAGCUACAAGCUAACAUCUGUGAAGCAAAGACAGCGAAUGCUCGAUAGCUUUGGAAUGCUCGCCUACGGUUUUACUUGAUUAAAUGAAAGAAAAAUAAAUUAUCGUAUUUAAGCCUGUGUUUGCUUGCUGAUGGCUAUUGUGAUUAGCAUCUGACCCAAGCCCUAACUGGUAUCCCCGCUAGGCAUAAGCUCUAGAAAUCUAAUUCCCACACACAUGCAUCUCCACUUCCUAGGGCAAUGGGAGCAAAUCAGGGGUCCUAGAGCAACUGCCUGCCCUUGAGUAUUUGUCUAGAACCAUAGUCUUCUUAGUGCCUGGUGCUGACAUCCAACGCAUGACCUGGUUGGGAGCCCUCUCCAUACACAGAUGGAACACGUUGACUGACUGACUGUUCCUCAACCAUUUCUCAGGGAACUGUUUCCCAGCGAUCGAAGGGUCUUCACCUCUCUCCCUUCCCCAGGGUGGCAUCAGUACAGAGCUUUUGAGAGAUCUAAAGUGCUGUCCGAUUUAAAAAAAAAAAAAAAUUGAAAAUGAUAGGUUAAAAUGGAAAGAAAGAACCCGUACAUUAAGCUGCAUUUUAAAGACUGUGUUUUUGAUAGUGAAGUGCGAGCAUUUUUUUUUCUUCAAGGAGACAGGAAAGACAUUAUUAAAUGGCAGGAAAUGGUGAUCUCAAAUUCCUUUUGCAAAAAUAUUGUUUACUGACUGUAAAAAAAAAAACCAAGUGUAACUUUGUAACUA
rnacentral:lncRNA from 1 species